GAUGAACGCUAGCUUCAGGCUUAACACAUGCAAGUCGAGGGGCAGCGGGAUUGAAGCUUGCUUCAAUUGCCGGCGACCGGCGCACGGGUGAGUAACGCGUAUCCAACCUUCCGUACACUCAGGGAUAGCCUUUCGAAAGAAAGAUUAAUACCUGAUGGUAUGAUGAGAUUGCAUGAUAUCAUCAUUAAAGAUUUAUCGGUGUACGAUGGGGAUGCGUUCCAUUAGGUAGUAGGCGGGGUAACGGCCCACCUAGCCAACGAUGGAUAGGGGUUCUGAGAGGAAGGUCCCCCACAUUGGAACUGAGACACGGGCCAAACUCCUACGGGAGGCAGCAGUGAGGAAUAUUGGUCAAUGGACGAGAGUCUGAACCAGCCAAGUAGCGUGAAGGAUGAAGGUCCUACGGAUUGUAAACUUCUUUUAUAAGGGAAUAAACCCUCCCACGUGUGGGAGCUUGUAUGUACCUUAUGAAUAAGCAUCGGCUAACUCCGUG
rnacentral:rRNA from 1 species